AUGGCUCAGGAUGAACGCUGGCGGCGUGCCUAACACAUGCAAGUCGAACGGAGUAAUUAAGCGGAAGUUUCGGAUGGAAGCAUAGUACUAGUGGCGGACGGGUGAGUAACGCGUGGGCAACCUGCCCUGUACCGGGGGAUAACACUUAGAAAUAGGUGCUAAUACCGCAUAAGCGCACAGCUUCGCAUGAAGGUGUGUGAAAAACUCCGGUGGUACAGGAUGGACCCGCGUCUGAUUAGCUAGUUGGUGGGGUAGAGGCCUACCGAGGCGACGAUCAGUAGCCGGCCUGAGAGGGUGACCGGCCACAUUGGGACUGAGACACGGCCCAAACUCCUACGGGAGGCAGCAGUGGGGAAUAUUGCACAAUGGGGGAAACCCUGAUGCAAGCGACGCCGCGUGAGUGAAGAAGUAUUUCGGUAUGUAAAGCUCUAUCAGCAGGGAAGAAAAUGACGGUACCCUGCGAGGAAGCUCCGGCAAACUACGUGCCAGCCGCGGC
rnacentral:rRNA from 1 species